UGCGCAAUCUGCCCUUCUCUUCGGAAUAAGCGUUGGAAACGACGUCUAAUGCCGAAUACGACCUCCUUUCGCAUGAUCGGAGGUGGAAAGCUCCGGCGGAGAAGGAUGAGCUCGCGGCCUAUCAGCUAGUUGGUGUGGGUAAUGGCCCACCAAGGCGACGAGUGGGUACGCCCGGCCGUAGGAGGGUAGGGGUCCGACCCGGACCACGUACGGUACGGGACUAGGACGACCGACCGG
rnacentral:rRNA from 1 species